rnacentral:tRNA from 1 species
GCCGCACUAGAGAAAUGGUUAACUCGUCGGCCUCCUAUUUCCCCUAUGGAAAUUAGAGUCAGCACAGCCGAAGAUUCCCGGUUCGAGUCCGGGGUGUGGUG